UGAGGAAAAUGCUUCUUUCCUGGAUGCUGAGAGAUGGCAGUGAGUGGGACUCUCACCCCUGGAGGUGUCUGUGAGCUGCAUUUACAGGCAUUGCAGUGCCUCAUGGCCCAGCUGUCUCCUCUGGAUCUCUGGUGACCCAGCACAGGCACGGCAGACCUGCCAGGUGACAACCAUGGAGCACAGCUGGAGGUGAAGGCUAAGAAAGGGAAGCUGCCAGAAGAAUCAAGCACCGGAGGAAUGGCAGAAGAGGCCAGAGAAGCAAUAAAAACCUUACUCCAUUGCCACAUGGACUGCAAACAUGGAAGAAAUGUCAUGACUGGGCCAGCAAGUUUGUCACUGGCCACAGCACAGAAACCACCUGUAAGUGCCAGGUAAGGAACAACCUCUCUUGGGGUGUUUUCUCUCACUUCUGUCCUGACUGCACAAAGGAGCAGUGUGCUCUUCUGAGCCAGGCAGAGCUGUGAGGCCUGCCCAGCUCUCCCAACAGCCUGAGCCCAUCUUCCCAGCCCCAGCCCAGACACAGCAGGGCAGAGGUGACGCUCUGCAGUCAAACCUGGAGGCACUGACCAGCAGUGCCCAGCCAGAUCUGUCACUGCUCUGGCAUGGACAGAGCCAUGGCCCCACAGAAGGGUGACUUUUCAAGCGCCCAUGAUUAGGCUGGCAGGAAUUUCAAUUGGUUUACAUCUUUAACCUUUAGUCCUGCACAAAAUUCCUACCACAGAUGAAAAGGUUUUCUAACCUAAUCAUCGGUUUCUACCCUCGUUUGCAUUUUUUGCCAUGGGCUGAACAUGUCUUUCUUUGUGGUCUUGAUGUCACUUGUGUUCAUGGUUUCUGCUCCGUGGUGCACGAUUCCGUUUGGGAGCCCCUCCUGGAGACCAUCAUAGUUUCCCUCAAAUCCAGGCUUGUAUUUCUUGAUGUUGGAAAGUGUUUCCUAGUUUGCUUCUGAAAAAUACUGCACAAAAUGUCUGCUUUCUGUGAAAUCUGAAGCUCCUCUAAAUUAGCAAUUCUGAGCUGCUGAAAAAAAUGCACAUAAGCGACACAGCUUCAAAUUUGUCUGUUCUGCUGCUGCAUUUAAAAAGUACUCAAGCAAAGCUGAUUAGGGCAAUACCUUUAAAGUUUCAUCAAGACACCUCAGUAUGGCCUAAGUGGGUGUUUCAGACAGAGACAGCUUCCUGGACUGUAGUUAGGAACUGCUCUGCACGUUCCAUAUAGGCUCACUUGACUACAGAACCUGCCAUAAGGAUGUGCCCAUAAGGAUGCACAUUCUUCAUUCUGUUUUAAUUAACAUGAUGCUAUCAUGUCUCUUCAAAGACAGGCUCUGUUGUCGCUGCGAGUCCCUCUGGGAUCAAGCCUCUCCUCAGCGUCACCAUUGUCAGCGCAUUUGGCUGGCCCACACUUGGGGGACUUAUGUUUCACUGUAAUUCCUUCCAAAACACGCAGAAAAGGCUCUCACUCUCUCUUUCUCAUUAGCUUGAUGGAAAGAGCAUGUCUUGAGGCAGCUAUUUAAAGUUCCAGUCAAAUGGAACUACUGAAAGCUGUUCUUUCAGAGGCAAGGUCAGAAUUGUUCGAUAUGGUAACGAAUUUUCCAAGGCUUAUGCCAGUGGGAAGACAAGCACACAUUAUGGCCUUGUAUUUUCUGUGCACUUUCAAGUCUUUGUUUCCAUGCUUGCAGCCUCAGAGAGCUUGUGCUUGCGGGAACUGCCAUCUCCAAAUCAU